AAAUUUUCGGCGAUGGAUAUCUUGGUUCCCGGAACGAUGAAGAACGCAGCGAAGUGCGAUAAGCAAUGCGAAUUGCAGAACCGUGAGUCAUUAGAGUUUUGAACGCAACUGGCACCGGCGGGACAUCCUGCCGGUAUGCUUUUUUCAGUGUCUAAUUAAUUCAUGCACCUCGGUGCAAU
rnacentral:rRNA from 1 species